CAGCUCGGUGCGCGCCGCUCGCUGGACUCCCUCGCCCCGCAGCAUGGACCCGGCUCGCCGCCUGCUGCCCCUCGGGCUCUGCAUCGCCCUGUGCCUGUGGGGCACCGUGGCCCAGAAUCAUGGCGUACAAGGUGCCACUGGGGACUGCAACAACCAUGUGAUAUGCCCAGCAAACGCCAAGUGUGUCAACAGCUCCCACUGCACCUGCCUGGAUGGAUACCAGCCAACGGGGAAUCGCUUCUUCACCGACCCAACAGAGACCU